GAUGAACGCUGGCGGCGUGCCUAAUACAUGCAAGUAGAACGCUGAAGGAGGAGCUUGCUCUUCUGGAAGAGUUGCGAACGGGUGAGUAACGCGUAGGUAACCUGCCUCUUAGCGGGGGAUAACUAUUGGAAACGAUAGCUAAUACCGCAUAAAAGUCGACAUUGCAUGAUGUUGACUUGAAAGGUGCAAUUGCAUCACUAAGAGAUGGACCUGCGUUGUAUUAGCUAGUUGGUGAGGUAACGGCUCACCAAGGCGACGAUACAUAGCCGACCUGAGAGGGUGAUCGGCCACACUGGGACUGAGACACGGCCCAGACUCCUACGGGAGGCAGCAGUAGGGAAUCUUCGGCAAUGGGGGCAACCCUGACCGAGCAACGCCGCGUGAGUGAAGAAGGUUUUCGGAUCGUAAAGCUCUGUUGUAAGAGAAGAACGAGUGUGAGAGUGGAAAGUUCACGCUGUGACGGUAUCUACCAG
rnacentral:rRNA from 1 species